AGUGAACGCUGGCGGCGUGCUUAACACAUGCAAGUCGAACGAGAACGGGUUAUAGCCUGCUAUAAUUGUCAGCUAAGUGGCGCACGGGUGAGUAAUGUAUAGGUAAUAUGCCUUUUACUAAGGGAUAACAAAUGGAAACGUUUGCUAAUACCUUAUACUCCUUAUUAACAUAAGUUAAUAAGGGAAAGAUUUAUUGGUAAGAGAUUAGCCUGUAUUGUAUCAGUUAGUUGGUGGGGUAAUGGCUUACCAAGACUAUGACACAUAACUGGUUUGAGAGGAUGAUCAGUCACACUGGAACUGAGACACGGUCCAGACUCCUACGGGAGGCAGCAGUGGGGAAUAUUGCACAAUGGACGAAAGUCUGAUGCAGCAACGCCGCGUGGAGGAUGACACAUUUCGGUGCGUAAACUCCUUUUAUAUGAGAAGAUAAUGACGGUAUUAUAUGAAUAAGCACCGGCUAACUCCGUGCCAGCCGCCGCCGUAA
rnacentral:rRNA from 1 species